GGCGCACGGGUGAGUAACACGUGGAUAAUCUGCCUUUAAGCGAGGGAUAACAUUUCGAAAGGAAUGCUAAUACCUCAUAAUGUUAUUUUCUCUUCGGAGAGAAUAGCCAAAGGUGACCUCUGUCUCAAGUUGCCGCUUAGAGAUGAGUCCGCGGCCCAUUAGCUAGUUGGUAGGGUAAAAGCCUACCAAGGCGACGAUGGGUAGCUGGUCUGAGAGGAUGAUCAGCCACACUGGAACUGAGAUACGGUCCAGACUCCUACGGGAGGCAGCAGUGAGGAAUCUUGCGCAAUGGGGGAAACCCUGACGCAGCAACGCCGUGUGAGUGAUGAAGGUUUUCGGAUCGUAAAGCUCUGUUUGAAGGGACGAAACGUAUUUGAUUAAUACUCAAAUAACUUGACGGUACCUUCAGAGGAAGCACCGGCUAACUCCGUGCCAGCAGCCGCGGUAAUACGGAGGGUGCAAGCGUUGUUCGGAAUUACUGGGCGUAAAGGGCGCGUAGGUGGCUAAUUAAGUCAGGUGUGAAAUCCUUCCGCUUAACGGGAGAAGUGCACUUGAAACUGCUUAGCUAGAGUACGGGAGAGGAAGGUGGAAUUCCUGGUGUAGAGGUGAAAUUCAUAGAUAUCGGGAAGAA
rnacentral:rRNA from 1 species